rnacentral:ncRNA from 1 species
CUUAUCAAGAGUGGUGGAGGAGCUGGUCCUGUGAAGCCCGGCAACCUAAUUGGAAAUAUCCAAGAAAGGUGCCAAUUCCUGCGGUAUAUCCGAGAGAUGAGG